GUAAAUCAAGCAAAAGGCUUCAUGUUUUAUUUGGUUAAAUAUCUAAUACUACAUACCCAAUAUACAUAACCAUUAUUUCGGUCGAUUGAGUGAGGCAUGUAGAAGAUUAUUAAUGGACACGAUGAGCCAGGAGGAAGGAUGAAAAAGCGGUGGUGCCGGCGGCGGAUUGUGAUUAGUUCCAUGGGACGGGCCAGAUCCAUGAGAGGGAGACUUAGGUAGCUCCGGAUAUACUCUCUUGUCCUUCACCACGGCUCUUGCAUUUGCAAUAUUGCUACUGGCAAAACCUAAAAUCAGUAGUGCAAGCAAAAGUAUUGCAGAUGGAGGUUUUUGGCCAACCAUUUUAUAGUCCUUCAAAUUUG
rnacentral:lncRNA from 1 species